rnacentral:misc_RNA from 1 species
AGAGUGAGAUAACAAGGAAAUGUCUUGGAAAAUAACAAAAAGGUCAUUAGGAACAUAUUGUCCAAUCGUAGCCGAGAUAACAUUCUUAGAAUCUCCUUCCACAAUGACAGCAUUGUAUUUCUAGUUCUUAGCAAGAAGCAUAGCUUCACGACAAGCUAGAGAUUCCAAAAUAAAAGGGUUAACAAUUCCAGGAAAGUGUUUGCAAAACCAUCCAAUCGGCG